AUUGAACGCUGGCGGCAGGCUUAACACAUGCAAGUCGAACGAGUGGCGGACGGGUGAGUAAUGCUUGGGAAUCUGGCUGAUGGAUGGGGAUAACGACGGGAAACUGUCGCGAAUACAGCGCACAAUAGGAUGAACCCAAGUGGGAUUAGGUAGUUGGUGGGGUAAUGGCAUACCAAGCCGACGAUCCUUAGCUGGUCUGAGAGGAUGACCAGCCACACCGGGACGGAGACACGGCCCGGACUCCUACGGUAGGCAGCAGUGGGGAAUAUUGGGCAAUGGGGGCAACCUGACGCAGCCAUGUCGCGUGAAUGAAGAAGGCCUUCGGAUUGUAAAGUUCUUUCGGUGACGAGGCGUUAAUCACAGAAGAAGCACCGGCUAACUCCGUGCCAGCAGCCGCGGUAAUAC
rnacentral:rRNA from 1 species